rnacentral:tRNA from 1 species
AGUGGAAACAGUGGAACCUAACCGCCUGAAAAGCGGAAGGUCGCCGGUUCGAUCCCGGCCCUGGCCA